CGCAGCCGUGUGAAAUUCAGUGCCUGCCCACUCAUGGCAGGUACCGGUCCAGGAGGCUGCCAUAGAAACACUGACUCAUGGGCCCUGAUCGCCUCUGCUGGGCCCAGGGAUAAGUUUGGUUACAGAUACAA
ensembl:snoRNA small nucleolar RNA SNORA5